AUGCAACACAUGUUGCUGGUGUGCUUCCUGCCCACGAGGAAAGAAGAACGACAAGGUUCAUAUUUGACUGUUUGCAGCAUGGGAGCUGAUUACCCAAAAAAUCCCUGGGAAAAAAGAAAAGAUAUCUCGGUAACGAAAACCAUAGGAGGCUGUAUUGGCGAGAUCCAAGGGUUCACAGCAGCCCAAAAGAAAAACCGCCUGGAAGUCCGAGGACCUUUAGUACCGUACCGAACCAGCAGCCUUCGUGCCAAGCGACGACCGCCCUUGUCCAGAGGAUUGAAAAUCCUCGUGUCACCAGUUCAAAUCUGGUUUCUGGCACAGAACGAACAAUGA
rnacentral:rRNA from 1 species